rnacentral:rRNA from 1 species
UACGAAGGGUGCGAGCGUUGUCCGGAUUUAUUGGGCGUAAAGAGCUCGUAGGCGGUUUGGCAAGUCGGGUGUGAAAACUCCGGGCUCAACUCGGAGACGCCACUCGAUACUGCUAUGACUCGAGUCCGGUAGGGGAGUGCGGAAUUCCUGGUGUAGCGGUGAAAUGCGCAGAUAUCAGGAGGAACACCGGUGGCGAAGGCGGCACUCUGGGCCGGUACUGACGCUGAGGAGCGAAAGCGUGGGGAGCGAACAGG